AAAGACCGGUUUCCGUAUGAUUACCGAAGUUAAACAACGUCAAGCCUGAUCAGUACCAAGAUGGGUGACCGCUUGGGAAUACCAGUUGCUGUAAG